UACAGAGGUCUCAAGCGUUGUUCGGAUUCAUUGGGCGUAAAGGGUGCGUAGGUGGUGGGGUAAGUCGGAUGUGAAAUCCCGGGGCUCAACCCCGGAACUGCAUUCGAUACUGCCUUGCUCGAGUACUGGAGAGGAGACUGUAAUUUACGGUGUAGCGGUGAAAUGCGUAGAUAUCGUAAGGAAGACCAGUGGCGAAGGCGGGUCUCUGGACAGUUCCUGACGCUGAGGCACGAAGGCCAGGGGAGCAAACGGG
rnacentral:rRNA from 1 species